CGUAGGUGGCAAGCGUUGUCCGGAUUUAUUGGGUUUAAAGGGUGCGUAGGCGGUUCCAUAAGUCAGUGGUGAAAUACGGCAGCUCAACUGUCGAGGUGCCAUUGAUACUGCGGAACUUGAGUACGGAUGAGGUAGGCGGAAUUGACGGUGUAGCGGUGAAAUGCUUAGAUAUCGUCAAGAACACCGAUAGCGAAGGCAGCUUACCAAGCAGUAACUGACGCUGAGGCACGAAAGUGCGGGGAUCAAACAGGAUUAGAUACCCUGGUAGUCCGCACAGUAAACGAUGAUUACUCGAUGUUGGCGAUACACAGCCAGCGUCUUAGCGAAAGCGAUAAGUAAUCCACCUGGGGAGUACGCCCGCAAGGGUG
rnacentral:rRNA from 1 species